rnacentral:lncRNA from 1 species
CAGUGUUCUAACAGAAGUCUGUCUGUGGUUGCUUUGGACCAAGGCAGAGUGCUCUAAAGGUGGCUGUGCUGUACCCAGUACUGUGUCUUCUGAUAGAAGGUUCUGAAGCAACACUGUAACUGCUGAAUGCUUCUGGCUGCUUCUUUCCACAGUAAAAGAUGAAAAGAAAUAUCUUUUAUUGAGAUAGACUGAGGUCCAGGAAAAACAAGUGCAACUUCAUGGUCCUUUUCUUCAUAUUCUGGAAUACAAGAAAACGUGUAAAUGUUUGCAAAUUCAGGUACAUUUUCAACUGGAAUGUAACAUGUAGAGCAGUAGAACAUUCUGGAACCACCACAUUUGAGACAUUUUGAUCUCCCACUUUGCUGAGCUUUUUGAAGAACUUCUUGAGAUGCUAAACAUAAGUUUUGAAGGGGAUCUUCUGAAGCUAUGGAAGUAGUUUGUGACUGUUUUGUUUCCACAAAGUUUGAAUUAUUUUCUUCACUUCAUUUGAGAAAUAUAGGUGGAUUGAGAGACAUUCUUCAUUCAAACAAAAGUUUAACAGCUAUUUCUAAAACACAUAUCAUCUGAAGCUAUGGAAGUAGUUUGUGACUGUUUUGUUUCCACAAAGUUUGAAUUAUUUUCUUCACUUCAUUUGAGAAAUAUAGGUGGAUUGAGAGACAUUCUUCAUUCAAACAAAAGUUUAACAGCUAUUUCUAAAACACAUAUCAUAUGUGCACUGCGAGUCCUCGAACAGCUCCACGCGUCUCCAGCUCUGCCCAAGCCCGAGCCACGCGACGGGCUGUGAUCGCGCACGGACCAGACGAGAGCUCUUCAACUGUGUGAUCCAAAUGAAUUUGAGAACACCUAUUUACUGCUCCGCCCUGUGUCCUGCUGGCCAGAAGUGCCCAUCAAUUUCAAAGGCCUCUGUGUGACUGGAUUGAGGAAGCCAAGAGCAGGGAGAAGAAUAGAUCCAGGUCUUCCCAUUACUCCAAAAUGGAGCCUAGCCCUCUGGCAGCACAGUCGGCCAGCUGGGACCACGGUGGCCAUUACUGGAAGUGUGAUCAUCUGCCCUCUCUCCUCAGUGCCCUUGGAAUAUGUGCUCUUCUGUCUGGCUUCAAUUUCUCUUACUUCUUUGUGUGUGAAGAGUCUUCCUUUCAAUCAGCAAACUCUUCCUGCACACUAUAAAGCCCACUUUGGUCUUCAGAAUCUUUCAGUGCCUGAGCUUGUCAGUAUGAGGUUUCUCUUUCUUUAUUUCCAAAUGUCCUGCUUUCUUUGUGUGCAACUUCUUAAGAAUUUGGCAAAGUAAACAACAAAGCAGCAAUAUUUCAUAGGGUUUAAACUUCCCUUUGGUCCUGGAUAGAAAGGAUUUUUUUUUUUUUUUUGAGACGGAGUUUUGCUCUUGUAGCACUGGCUAGAGUGCAAUGGCGCAAUCUUGGCUCACUGCAACCUCUGCCUCCUGGGUUCAAGGGAUUCUCCUGCCUCAGCCUUCCGAGUAGCUGGGAUUACAGGCACCCACCACCACGCUGGCUAUUUUUUUUGUAUUUCUCAGGAGAGACAGCAUUUCACCAUGUUGGUCAGGCUGGUCUCGAACUCCUGACCUCAGGUGAUCCACCCACCUUGGCUUCCCAAAGUGCUGGGAUUAUAGGCCUGCCACCUGGAUCUAUUCUUCUCCCUGCUCCUGGCUUUUUCAAUCCAGUCACAAAGAGGCCUUUGAAAUUGAUGCCUGCCACCACACCUGGCAGAAAGGAUGUUUUUGUUUCUUCUUUUUCCUGUUCCUUUCUCUGCAAUCAUCUCUCUGAGUCUCAGACAUGUGGCACUGGUUGGCUGGCAGCACCUUCUGUGUGUCUGAGCCCUUACAUAGCUUCCAGAGGAAGGGGUGCUCCGUUGGGGUCCUGCCUGCUUUUGGAGCAUUAGAAUCUCCUUUUUUGCAAGCCUCUGUCUCCCAUCAUUUAACACCCAGCUGUGUCUCUCUGCCCACUGACCAGAAUCUUUUCGCAGUAGGUGGGUUUUAAAAAGCACUCACCAGAACUCCCAAAUGCUAGGGUCUCAUGGCCCCUCAAAAACUCAUUACCUUCUCUUUGGGAUCCUCAGACCUGGCAGGAACCUCACAUAGGAAGAAAGGCAGCCAGGGAGCAGGCAGUGAGGACAGGUUGUAAUCAGGCAGUUCUGGCUGGGCAUAAAGUCUGCUCCUGCUGAAGGCAAGCUGCUCAACACUGCACUGGACAUCCUCCAUGUGUGGAAUCUAGGCAAAGCAGCUCUGUCCUCUAUUAACAAAUAACUGAGCCUGGGCAAUCUGUUACUUCAACUGUCCUUUCAAGCCAGGCUUUGCAGUAACAGGAAUUUGAGGUCCAGCAUGCAGAGACAGACCUAAGUGUGAGCCUCUGCUACUUAUGAGCUGUGUGACCUGGGGCAAAUUACUUAACCUCUCUAUACCCUAUUCCCUUCACUUGUGCAAUAAGAAUAAAUAAUACCACACACUUCGGAGGCAUGGCGUAAGACUCAAAUGACUAAUAUAGGGAUAGUUCAGGGGCAGAUACACGGUUGGAAAGCACACUAGAAAUAUCAGUAGAAUCUGAAUUUUCCCCUACCUGCCUCCUUGUUUUCACUACAAAUAACAUUUCCUUUCCUGCUUUUAAGUCAAGAGGGGAACACACUGAUUCUUUAGCAGACAGUUUAGCACACACUUCAAGCCAGAGAGUGUACCAGCAAUGUGGAUUCAGAAAUAAAUAUGAUGGGAGCCCUGCUCUCACAGGAUGGGGUUGGGGGUGGGGGAUAAAGUCCCAAGGGAGUUGGACAGUCUCCAGAUGGGUAGUCACUGCUGGGCAGAAACACAUGAGGGAAGUGUCAGGAGCCCGAAAGAAGCUCUGAACAGGUUGGAACACGUUUUCUGGAGGAUGGGACAUUGAAACUGAAUCACCUACAAUGUUGAAGGCAGAUGGUAACCUAAGAAAGGUAAAGCCUUGUUAAUCAAAUCAAUUCUUUUCACUUUAACUGUAUUGGAAAGAUACUUUAAAAAAUCUUCAUAACAACUGAAGCUCGAUGAUGCCUUGAUUCUGCAUUAACAUCCUUGCCCAUUUCUUGAUACAUUUUCAAUUUACCUUCAUGGUAAUUUACACUCAAGGAAGCUGUCCAAGAUAUGCGGGGGAUUCAAUAAAAUAGGUCAUGGAGUUAAAUGCUGUGGUGAAACACAGGGCUUAAUUUUAUGGAUAAAAUUUAAACUGCUUAGCUGCCUUUUUUGCAUUAUUCAUGUUAAGACUAAUGAUUACUCACUAAAUGGGAAGGAAUCACUGUAGAAAUCAGGAAGCCAUUUUCUUAAUUCUUUAAGCACAUCUGAUGGAGCUGUGGACUCUGCCCUUGAGGUUAACAGCAUUGUAUUAGGGAAGAGACCUGCUUGGCCCACCAGUCAACCUCCCUUGCCUGGGCUGCUCCUGAAACUGCUACAGGAACAGGAAACUUGAAACAAGAUUUUUUCCUAAAAUUGACAUUGGGUAGAAUGAACAGGAUAGAAGACAAUAUAUUAAUGUCAGUUCCUUCUGGUAUUUUUCAAAGUGAAGUCUGCAUUGAUGUCAUUGACAAAAAUGCAAAUUCCAGAUUGUAACCAAAUCUGCUUACUGGCAGUGAGGUUUAGGCACUUUAAUUAUUCACAAGCAUCCCAGGCAAUUCUUAUGUGCUAGUGGAGAACCACAGAUUGGCAUUGGCUAUAGAGAGACCACUUCCUUUCAGUCAUCCAAGGUUAUUUUAUUAACUUAGCACUGGGCUCCAACGUAAACAAGGGCUACUUUUCUAUAAUGAUCAAAUUACUAAUUUUAUAAGUAUAGAAUAAAAGGAUAUGGGUUUCUUAGAUUGUAAAUGUUUGAUGUAGUUAAUGCAAUUUCAUUUUUGAGGUUUGUUUCUAAUAAUACUCUUAAUUUACAUGUCUAAUGGAUUCCUUGUACACAAUUCUGAUCAUGUAAAUUUAAGAUGAUCUUUUCCACUUUGCAAUACAAGACAUUUAAAAUAACCUAAAGUUGCCCAUUCUCACUAAGCACCUGAAAAUUAGUCCCUGUGGGGAAACUUUUUUCAAGUUUUAUUUUUCUUUUUAUUUCAAGUGUUGUUUAUAUUGUUUCUCUAACUGUUCUACCUAAUGAUUGAUAGGCACCUACCUUCCCCAAAGAAAAAGGGUUAAGUGAUCAAAUAUGUUUGGGAAACACGAGGGCAAACAAAGUGAAACAGACUUUUACUGCAGAUUGCGGAUCCUUUGAGAGCCCUUAAUGUGCACAGUAAUUCUCCAAGAAGGGGACAGAAGUCCCUGGGCUUCCCAUGCUUGUUUAGUUUUUAUGGAUCCCUCUGCUGGAUGAGUGUUCACAGGACCACACUUUGUGAAAUACUCAGUCAGCUCUAUCAGCAAAUUAUAUCACGGGAAUUGGUUACUUUCAUUUGGAUGCUUUGCCCAUGUUACCCAGACUUAGGAAAAUAUUUUACAAUUUGGGGUGUAUAUGAGAUAUUUGGGGGCAUUUUCUCCAAUAUCAACUUCCUGCUUCUGAAAUUCAGGUUAAAACACUGACCUAAAUUACGGAAAUCACAAUCUCCUUCACCAUCACCAACAGUGCCACCAUCAUCAAAUCAUGAUCAGCAUCGACCAACACGAUGAUUCCCACUACCACUAUCACAUUAAUAGCACCACUACCAUCCUACCGUGCCCAGCGAGACAACUGCCAUCACGGUCACUAUGACCAACACCAUAUUACCACCGCUGCCACUAAUAUGCCUCAUUGCUAUGCCAAUAAUCACUAACAGCAUUACCACCACACUCCAACUAACCAAUGCUGCUGCCAUCAUUACUGCCAUGAUCUGUACUACCACCACUGCCACUAGUGCAAACAUCACCACUACUGCUGUUAAAGCAGCCACCACCACUGCACCCACUGUCGCCACUGUCCUUUCCACAUCCAGAUGAAGAAAGAAGAAGAGAUAGAAAGCAUAGUUUCAUUAUUCUAGGUCAUAUUCAAAGGUUGGUCACUAGAUAUAAUUGCACAUAUGUUCCCCUAGUUACUAUGGCAUCCCAAUAGCCAUCAAGUGGAACCAGACAUGGUAUCAUAGCAGAAUCCUGAGGUCUAAGGUCUAGUUUAAAUAAGACUUCUGAUCCAAGGUAGGGGUCCCUCAAUUACCUCUAUGACAGGAGGCAAAGAUGUCACACACGACUGCAUGUCAGCUAAACUCAUUGGAAGAUUCAUUUCUGCCUUCAUAAAUGUAGACACUGGGCUUCAGCUAGUUGUAAGGGAGCAGCCCCUGGUGCAAGCCACGUAGCAACUAGAGGGGCUUUAAAAUCAGCACAAAAUUAAGUUUUAUUGCUGCUUUGAGGAAUGUUCAGGUUGGUGGGAGGGGAUUACAGCAGACAAGUGUUUAAUUUACUCAACUAUAUGCUCAAGUUUAUGUAACUGAGCUAUUUUAAAAUUACAUUUUAUGUAUGCAUUGCUGUAUAUAUUGCACAUAUAUAAAUGUACAAUAAUAAUAAAGAGUGGCAUAUAUGAGUCUCAGGAAUUGUGCCAAAGGCUUUACAUAUACUCUCUUUAAUCCUUUUAACUCCUGUAUGAAAGGAGUGUGACUGUCAUUCUCAUUUUCCUAAUGAACAAACUGUGGCAUGAAGAGGUUAAAUAAUUAGCCUAAGCUUACAAAGCUAAUUAAUUGUAAGACUAAGAUCUAAACCCAGGUAGUCUGGUUCCAGGGCCCAUGAUCUUAACCAACACUCUACAUUUUAACACACUGUCUGCACAUUGUCUACACACAGAUGCAGUGUGUGUACAUCAGUUGUAUAAAUAUAUCAUCUUGCAUGAAGUAAUUUAAGGGAUGUUCAAGGAUAUUGUUGAUUAUAUGCAAUUUAUCUCAUGUGCUGAUUUUUAAGCCUAGUCCCAGAGGAAAUGCAAGUUCACUGAAAUCUAAGGGGGGAAAAAAGACACGAAAAACCAACAAGUGCAAAGCAGUGUGGUGCAGAAUGUGGUGGCAGAGCAACAACCACUCUCAGCAAAAUCCUCAUUAAUUCAUGCCAGUAAGUAUGCAAUGAGGAACUGCAGUAUGCAGGGCACUGGGUGGGGCGAUGCCAGCCCUCCUGAUCCUUAUCCCAUAACUUAUCAGGUGUGUUCAAGUUCUUAGUGCGUCUCAAGAAAAAAUAUCUCAGGUUCGAAUUGCUGCAAAGUUUUUCAAGCACAUCCACCGAUAGCAAGACCCACUGGAGGCAGAUCAGCGAUGAGUCUGAGGGCGGCACAAAGGGUGCUACCAGCAAAGAAGCCAACUGCUGGUUCUCCACUCUGAAUGAUCAUCGCUUCCCAUUUGGAAGACAAAGAUGGUUACUGGCCUUGGCAUAUUAACCCUGGAGCUGCCUCCUCAGGAAGUGAAGAGUUGGGCUUGGCUGGCUGGUAUAGCAGCAGCGACAGCAGCAGAGACAGCAUGGCCUGCUCAGAAGGGGCGCCCUAGUUGCCAAGGAUGAGGGCACUGGCUUUGCACUCUUUGAGACUGGGGCUUUACCUAACAAACACUUGCAAAACUUAUUACCCCUCCAGUCCUCAAGUUUCCUUGUACCUAUAGAAUAGGAAUGUUAAAACUUACUUCACACAACUGUUUUGAGGAUGAAUUGGCUAUUUGAAAACUUGGGCACUGGAAGAAGUCCAGUGAAGGACAGUGUCACUUCCGCUGUUCACCCUUUCAUGCUUAAUUAACAUUUAAUUAAUCAAAUAUGUUGUUUCUUUUUGUAUUUUUUUAACUGAGAUAAAUGUAGAUUUACAUAUAGUUGUAGAAAUAAUACAGAAUUAUCCCGUGUACCCCUUACCUAGUUACCCCCAAUGGUAACAUCUUGCAAUAUUAUACCACAAUGUCACAACCAGGAUAUUCAGAUAGAUGUCAUCCACUGAUCUUACUCAAAAUUCACUCAUUUUCCAUACAGUCCUUUGAUUGUGUGGUAGUUCUGUGAAAUUUCAUCCCAUCUGUAGUUUUCAUGUAAUCAUCGCCACAGUCAAGGCACAGAAUGCUUCACUUCCAUCACUAUAAGGAACCCUUGUGUUGCCCUUUUAUAACCACACCCACUUCUCUCCUGUCUCCCAAACUCCAUCUCUAAUCCCUGUUAACCACUGAUAUGUUCCUUACUUACACAAUUUUAUCAUUUCAAGAAAGUUACAGAUAUUGAAUCACAUAGUAUGUAACCUUUUAGGAUUGGUGUUUUUCACUCAGCAUUAUUCCCUGGAGAUCAUCCAAGUUGUUGCACGAAUGAUUUGUUUCUUUUAUUGCUGGGGAGUAGUCUAUGGUAUGGAUGUAUCACAGUUUAAUUAUUCGCCCCUUGAAGGACAUUUGGGUGGUUUCUAGUUUCUGGCUAUUGUAAAUGAAACUGUGAUGAACGUUUGUGUACAGGUUUCUGUGUGAACACAAGUUUUCAUUUCUCUGGGAUAAAUGCCUGUGAGUGCAACUGCUGGGUCAUAUGGCAAUUGCAUGUUUAGUUUUACAAGAAACUGCCAAACUGCUUUCCAGAGUGGCUGUGCCAUUUUAAAUUCCCUCCAGCAAUUAUAAGAGGUGCAGUUUCUCGGCAUUCCUUCCAAAAUUUGAUGGUGUUGCCAUUUUUUAUCUUAGCCAUUUUGGCAGGUGUGUAGUAAUAUCUUAUUGUGGGUUUUACGUUGCAUUUCCCUAAUUGUUAAUGUUGUUAAAUAUUUUCUCAUGUGCUUAUCCGCUAUCUGUGUAU